AAGUUAUUAAAGUUGUUGGAUCUAGACAGUGAUUUCUGUCAUUUGGAGGAAGUCACUGCUGAAUGUCUUUUCUAAUAGUGAUAAUUUUCUUAGUAAAGUACUUCAUAAAGUCAUUGCUGCUGAGAUUAAAGGUGAUAGUAGGCUCAAAACAGCUAUGACUUUUAGUCAGACUGGCUACAGUGCUGAAACGGAACCUGGGGUUAUAUAUUAUUAGACUGUCCUUCAAUGCAAUGCAGUUUACACUUAUUUUGUAAGAACGCCACUGUCUUUCUAGUUGUCGGGUCCUGUUCUUUAGGCUGCGGAUGUCACGACACCAGAUUCAUGUACCGUUUGCUUUAGCAUUUCCUGUUUUUAUUUUGAUACCACUUCCGGUUUAUGUUCAGUCUUGUUAGUUCCCACUUUUCAUUUCCGGUCAGGUGUUCUCACCAGCUGUUUACUAUCAGCCAUUAACUCUGUUACUUGGGCUCCAGUACUCACCUGACUCAUUGCCAGAUUGUUGUCGUGCGUCGUGUUUAAUCCAGUUCCAUCCUUGACCUUGUCACCUGCCUCGUUCCUGUGAAACCUGCUUAUCCUAUCCGCGCGUGGCAGAGCUGCAGGUUCAGCCCAGGAAAUGUAGGUGCACGUUAGCCCAGACACAGAGCGCCAGAGCCCCAGUUAGUCCCUGAGCUGAUUAGUUAGAAAUGACUAAAUAAGGACAGAGAUGAUAUCACAGAUAUCGGAGACUUCUCCAGCAUGUAUUAUACAUCACCGCGAGCCACGCUGGCAGAGAGAGAUGGAAAGCAGCCAGAAGAGUGUUUUUAAAAUAAGCGGCUCACCUGAAGGCCCAGUGGGUUGAGGCUGGUGUUCGUCCUGCAGCUCACUGGGCCGUCCGCGUGAACCUCCAUGGCGUAGAGCAGGUUCUCGUCAUGGAAACGGGCAGGCCAGCCGAUGUGAAGCUCGGCCUCGCG